UUGGGAGCUUCCCAGAGUGGCUGGGAAAACCCAGCUAGAUGGGCGGGGUAUUAAUAAUAAUAAUAAUAAUAAUAAUAAUAAUAAUAAUAAUAAUUAUUACCCUGCCCACCUGAUGGGGCUGUCCCAGCCACUCUGGGCGGCUUCCAA